rnacentral:lncRNA from 1 species
AGCCGUCAGUGGAGAGCACCAUGAACGAGGAACAGAGGGAGUACUUGCGCUGGUUCUACCGCACAGAGGACCAGACUAAAUGGACAUUUGCGAUGCUGGCCCUGUCCUUCGCCGCACUGCUGCUGGGAGGAAUUCUACUGGUCACGGGAAUUAUGGGCAGCAGGAGCAGGAAGAAGAUCGCCAAAUACAAAGCAGCGGCAGCCCAGGGUCUGAGGCCUCGGAUGGAGGAACUGCAGGUCAUCAGCGAGGAAUGCAGCACCACCAUCCAGGAUGACAAGGCCUCCAGCGACCACUGCGAAGAGGAGAACCACCUCCACCCUUCCACCGACCAUCAGCAGUUCAAACACGGAGACGUCAUGGUGACGUGGAAGGACGGGAACGUCACCAGUCUUUACCCAGAGGGCAGCGAUGAGCAGCUGUGAGCUAAAGCCAGAACUUCAUUUAUAAAGGUUUUAACAAUGUCACAUUUUUUCCGAUUUAUAUUAUUAUCAUUUCUGCAGAAUGCAGAAAUAUUAAUAGCAUUUUAUCUUGUGCUUUUUUGCUUUCUUUUCUUUUUUUUUUAAAUAAUGG